UGGGGAAUAUUGCACAAUGGGCGCAAGCCUGAUGCAGCCAUGCCGCGUGUGUGAAGAAGGCCUUCGGGUUGUAAAGCACUUUCAGCGAGGAGGAAGGUGGUGAACUUAAUACGUUCAUCAAUUGACGUUACUCGCAGAAGAAGCACCGGCUAACUCCGUGCCAGCAGCCGCGGUAAUACGGAGGGUGCAAGCGUUAAUCGGAAUUACUGGGCGUAAAGCGCACGCAGGCGGUUUGUUAAGUCAGAUGUGAAAUCCCCGGGCUCAACCUGGGAACUGCAUUUGAAACUGGCAAGCUAGAGUCUCGUAGAGGGGGGUAGAAUUCCAGGUGUAGCGGUGAAAUGCGUAGAGAUCUGGAGGAAUACCGGUGGCGAAGGCGGCCCCCCUGGACGAAGACUGACGCUCAGGUGCGAAAGCGUGGGGAGCAAACAGAUUAGAUACCCUGGUAGUCCACGCUGUAAACGAUGUCGAUUUUGGAGGUUGUGCCCCUUGAGGCGUGGCUUCCGGAGCUAACGCGUUAAAUCGACCGCCUGGGGAGUACGGCC
rnacentral:rRNA from 1 species